CGCGGCCUAUCAGCUUGUUGGUGAGGUAACGGCUCACCAGGGCGACGACGGGUAGCUGUUCUGAGAGGAAGAUCAGCCACACUGGGACUGAGACACGGCCCAGACUCCUACGGGAGGCAGCAGUGGGGAAUCUUGCGCAAUGGGCGAAAGCCUGAUGCAGCAACGCCGCGUGCGGGAAGAAGGCCCUAGGGUUGUAAACCGCUUUCAGUAGGGAAGAAAAUGACGGUACCUACAGAAGAAGGUGCGGCCAACUACGUGCCGGCAGCCGCGGUGACACGUAGGCACCAAGCGUUAUCCGGAUUUAUUGGGCGUAAAGAGCUCGUAGGCGGUUUGGUAAGUCGGGUGUGAAAACUCUGGGCUCAACCCAGAGAGGCCACCCGAUACUGCUAUGACUAGAGUACGGUAGGGGAGCGGGGAAUUCAUGGUGUAGCGGUGAAAUGCGCAGAUAUCAUGAGGAACACCGAUGGCGAAGGCAGGUCUCUGGGCCACAACUGACGCUGAGGAGCGAAAGCGUGGGGAGCGAACAGGAUUAGAUACCCUGGUAGUCCACGCCGUAAACGGUGGGCACUAGGUGUGGGCAACAUUCCACGUUGUCCGUGCCGCAGCUAACGCAUUAAGUGCCCCGCCUGGGGAGUACGG
rnacentral:rRNA from 1 species